UGGGGAAUCUUGGACAAUGGGGGCAACCCUGAUUCAGCGACGCCGCGUGGGUGGUAAGGCCUUCGGGUUGUAAAGCCCUUUCACCGGGGAAGAUGAUGACAUUACCCGGAGAAGAAGCGCCGGCUAACUCCGUGCCAGCAGCCGCGGUAAGACGGAGGGCGCUAGCGUUGUUCGGAAUCACUGGGCGUAAAGGGCGCGCAGGCGGUCUGUUGCGUCAGGCGUGAAAGCCCCGGGCUCAACCCGGGAACUGCGCUUGAUACGGGCAGGCUAGAAGCCGGCAGAGGGUGGUGGAAUUCCCAGUGUAGAGGUGAAAUUCGUAGAUAUUGGGAAGAACACCGAAGGCGAAGGCAGCCAUCUGGGCCGGUCUUGACGCUGAGGCGCGAAAGCGUGGGGAGCAAACAGGAUUAGAUACCCCCGUAGUCC
rnacentral:rRNA from 1 species